rnacentral:rRNA from 1 species
AUAUUGCACAAUGGGGGAAACCCUGAUGCAGCGACGCCGCGUGAGCGAAGAAGGCCUNNNGGUCGNACAGCUCUGUCCCUAGGNAACNAACGGACGGUACCUCAGGAGGAAGCCCCGGCUAACUACGUGCCAGCAGCCGCGGUAAUACGUAGGGGGCGAGCGUUAUCCGGAAUUACUGGGCGUAAAGGGCGCGUAGGCGGCCUUUUAAGUCAGAUGUGAAAGGCUACGGCUUAACCGUAGUUAGCAUUUGAAACUAAAAGGCUUGAGUGCAGGAGAGGAGAGUGGAAUUCCUAGUGUAGCGGUGAAAUGCGUAGAUAUUAGGAGGAACACCAGUGGCGAAGGCGACUCUCUGGACUGCAACUGACGCUGAGGCACGAAAGCGUGGGGAGCGAAC